GCGAACGCUGGCGGCAGGCCUAACACAUGCAAGUCGAGCGGCCGUAGCAAUACGGCAGCGGCAGACGGGAUAGUAACACGUGGGAACGUGCCCUUUGGUUCGGAAUAACUCGGCGAAAGCCGUGCUAAUACCGGAUAAGCCCUUACGGGGAAAGAUUUAUCGCCAUUGGAGCGGCCCGCGUCUGAUUAGCUAGUUGGUGAGGUAAUGGCUCACCAAGGCGACGAUCAGUAGCUGGUCUGAGAGGAUGAUCAGCAUCACUGGGACUGAGACACGGCCCAGACUCCUACGGGAGGCAGCAGUGGGGAAUAUUGGACAAUGGGCGAAAGCCUGAUCCAGCAAUGCCGCGUGAGUGAUGAAGGCCUUAGGGUUGUAAAGCUCUUUUACCCGGGAUGAUAAUGACAGUACCGGGAGAAUAAGCCCCGGCUAACUCCGU
rnacentral:rRNA from 1 species